rnacentral:lncRNA from 10 species
GGCAAGUGCAUGGAAAAGGAUGAUGGUGAGGCUGAAAGCAGGAAAAGAUUUGACCCAUCUCCCAGGUUGGGCCCAGGCCAGAGGUCUCUACCAGCAAAGAGGAUAAAAGAGACUACACCUGGACAAACCCUCCCAGGCCCAGGCCUGAGCCUCACAUGUGGCCCCGGGGAAGGCAUCAGGGACUCCCUUUGCCCUCCCACUGACCUCCCUGCAAACCUCCCCCAAACCAAGGGGCAUCCUCAGCUGGCCAGACCCUGGGGGAAGGGAGAGAGCCGAGGAUCACCGGCACCUGUGGCUGGGUUACCCCUGCCAUGGACCACUGGGUGAUCAAGAAGUCAUUCCAAAAUGUGAAGCGUUCUGAAGAUAUGCACAUAGCGUAAGAACCUGGUGUAAUGUGCUGGUCAAGGCGGUCUCAGAGAGGAGAUGACGUUUGAGCUGACACCUGAGGGAUGAGAAGAAAGCAGCCAUUCCCAGGGCCCAGGGGAGGCAUCCCAGGAAGCCGGAUCAGCAUGAGCAAAAGCCCUGAGGCCUGGCACAAGUUGGUCUGCUUGAGAAGCAGGAGAGAGCCCUGAGCAUCCGGAGUGCAGCAAGCGAGGUGCACAGAGGAGCAGGAAGGGGCUGGGAGAAGGCUGGGGCCGGAUCAUGCAGGACAGGCUGGAGGAAGGGGCUUGAAUUGUCUUCUGACCACUGAGGGGAUAUAAACAUGAGGGCAAAAUCAUCUGAUUUCCAUGUGCAAAGGCCCACUCUGGCUGCUCUAGAGAGAACAGAUGAUUGCAGGGUAAAAGUGGAUUUAGAGAGGUCAGAUGGAGGCUGGGUACGUGCCGUGUAUGGUAGAUAGCAUGCUACCAAAUACACUCACAGGUAGCCCUAUUAUCUCCAUUUCACAGAUGAGCAAGUCAAGAUGCAGAAGGACUCUCUGGCUUGUCCAAGGUCACACGGCUGUUAGGAGCAGAGCAGCGUCCUGGUGCCCAAGCCCUGAGGUCCCCAGCACACUGCCUCUGCAAUGGCCACAACUGUCCAAAGACUAAGCUGACUCUCACACCUGGUAGUGUCUGUGGUCAUUCACUGUGGAUGGAAGUGGAGAAAUGCAGAAAACAGAAACACAGCUUCCCCUUUUCUGUCAUAUUUCUGUAUCGUUGGUGUUUGGAGCCAGUUGAGCACAAAGGGCCCCUGAGUGCUGUUUCCUUGUGAUAUUUGGGGGUUAACAGCUUCCCCUCAUCUCUUAAUUACCUGCCCUCCUUCACUUCAGCUGCACAUUCGUUAAAGAAUGCUCUCCCAGGAGAAGAGCUUGGUGUUAUCACCCACAAACAUCUUAGAAAACUAAUGCUAUCCUUGAGUGCCUGUUUACAGAAACAUUUUUACAUCUCACUUGACAUUUCCAGCAAAUCUUGAUCCUUCCAGCCAGGAAUAUUAAUAUAUAGGUCUUGAAAAGUGCAAGAGGCUCUUCCAUGGCUCCAAGCACAUUUGACACUCUUCCUUUUCUGAUCCCCAAGCAGACAGUGAUGAAACCCCAAUAGCUGGGCGAAUACUCAUCCAACAGGAAGAAUCAGUUUUAAGAGCUGGGUUCUCAGGGUCAAAUACUGUGGUGUGGCCUUUUGGUUGUAAUGAGUUGAAUGGAGGUCUCAAAAAAGAUAUAUCCAUGUUCUAAUCCCCAGAACUUGUGAAUGUGACCUUAUUUGGAAAAAGAGUCCUUUUGGAUGUAAUUAAGUUAAGGAUUUUGAGAUAAGGAGAUCAUCCUGGGUUAUCUGGGUGGACCCUAAAUCUGUUGACAAUGUCCUUAUGAGAGACCCCAGAGGGCACAGACAGGAAAGGAAGAGGCAAUGUGGCCCCAGAGGCUGAGAUCAGAGCUCUGUGGCCACAAUUCGAGGAACACCUGGAGCCACCAGAAGCUGGAGGAGGCAAGGAACAGAUUCUCCCUGAUCCUCUGGAUACAGAGGGAGAAUAGCCUGGCCGACACCUUGAUUUUGGACUUCUGGCCCCCAGAACUGAGAAAAUUAACUUCUGUUGUGUUAAGCAGCCACGUUUGUAGCAGUUCAUCAUAGCAGCCCUGGGAAAGAAAUACAGUGGGCUUCCAGUUCAAGGAGGAUCCACGAGGCCUGAGCUCCAUCUGUCGAUUGGAAUCACCAAAAUCAAGGUUGUGUGCGGGUAACGCCAGCACAAGCAGCUCAUGCUGGCAAAAGCAGACCAAACCGGCUCACGCAACGUCAAGUCAUCUUGAAGUGGUUCACGCACCACAGAGCAGACCUGCAGAGGGGCCAGAAGACACCUGGCCGGGUGGGGAGCAGCCCCUCCGUAAUAACAAUCGGAACCUGGGAAGAUAAGUAGAGUCCCAGGGGAGGGACAGAGUUUCCCCUGUGUCACCACAUGGCUACUUUGACACAAAUGCACGUGGGCAGAGAGAGGCAUGCAGGUCAAGGGCCUGGCAGGGAGUCAGGGGCCCUCAGUGCCAGUCCUGGCUCUGCCUCUGCCUCUGACACGCCAUGUGACCUUGAGCAAGUCACCACCCUGUCUGGGCUUCGCUAACCCAUAUACGGAAUGAGAAGGUAUCGUCCCUGGUCACUGCAGGUUUUAAAUCAUGUAGUGAGAGAGAGCUCAUUUGGUCCAACUCUCUGCAACUGAAGGAAUGGAGACACCAAGGGGGAGUAAUCGGCCGCAGUGAUGAGUGGGUGGCAAAGGGAGCUAUCACUACCAUUGAUUAUCCAGCUACUUGUGCUUGAUAAACUCCCUCCUGGUGGAAUGGGCUUUCCCACAUCCAGCAGCACAAAUGCUGUGAGCAUCUACUACGGGCUGGGCACCUUCUCUGGGCUGGCACUUGACAUGGGUUAUCUCAUUUAACUCCCUAACAACCCUAUGUGGUAUUAUCAUCCCCAUUUCACAGGCGGCAAAACUGAAUCCCAGAGAGAAGACUCACUCAGACACAGCUAUCUGAACACUCUUUUCCAGUUCCCCUAGGGCAGCAGAGGAAGCAAGGUGGGGGGAAGCCAGUGGUCAAGGAUUCCAUGCGGAAUGUACCCUAGAAUUAACCCAUGGAGAGAGGGUAAGGGAACGGGCUCAGGCCUGGGAAGAAGUGGGGAGGACAGUGUCCUGUUGACCUAUUCAAAAACAUCCAGUUUUAGUUAAUUUUUAGUUCAUUAGUCACCACUUUUUAUUAGUAUCUCAUGUAUUCUUUCACAGUUUCUUUCUGCAGGUACAAAAAUAAUGAUUUUUUUUCUUUCUUUUUCUUCUUUGAGACAGGGUCUCGCUCUGUUGCCCAGGCUGUAGUACAAUGGUGCAAUCUCGGCUCACUGCAACCUCUGCCUCUGGGUUCAAGCGAUCCUUUGCCUCCGCCUCCUGAGUAGCUGGAAUUACAGGCUUCCAGGAGGGGCCUCCCUGGGCUCCCGGAGGACACCCACAGUCCUCACCAUGCAGCUCCCUCCAACAUCAAGCCAGGAAUGGCCGAACAGAUCUUUCUCAUGCUUCAAAUCUCUGAUGAAUUUCUCUUGCCAGAGAAAGCUUGCCAUUUUCCAAGGGCUCACCCAGUCAGAUCCGUCCAACAAGGGUGAUCUCCCUAACAUUAGGUUAACUGACUUGGAACCUCAGUUAAUCUGCAAAAUCCCUUUUGUCAUAUAAUGGAAUACAAUCAUUUGGUUCACAUGCUCAUCUUAUUCACAGGCCCUACACUCAUACAAGGGCAGGGGACCACAGAAGAGUGAAGGCCAGUGAGGGUCACCUCAGAAUUCUGCCCAACACCGGUGUUUUGUAAUUUGGGUAGAUGUUGCCAUGUUGUCCUCCGUGGGGAUUAUGCAGAGGGAACUCUCCUCCUCCAGCAACAGUACAUGUACCUGCUUUUCCAUGGUGCUGCUUAGAGAAUGUUAUCAAACCUUUGGAUUUCUGCCAGUCUGAUAGGAGAAAAAUGGAAUCUCAAUUGUAUUUUAAAAUUGUAAUUAUCGCCUUAUGAAUAAGGCUGAGCAUUUCCUCAAAAGCAUAAGAGCCAUUUAUAUACUUUUUUCUUUAUGGCUUCUGGUUUUGAGGCAUAGAAAGGUCUUUCUAGCUCUAAAGUUAAUCAGAAAUUCUCUGUUUUCUUUUUGCUUUUUUUAAAAUUUUACUUUAAGUCCUUGGAUACAUGUGCUGAACGUGCAGGUUUGUUACAUAGGUAUACAUGGGCCAUGGUGGUUUGCUGCACCUAUCAACCCGUCAUCUAGGUUUUAAGCUCCACAUGCAUUAGGUAUUUGUCCUAAUGCUCUUCCUCCUCUUUCCCCAUGCCCCCAACAGGCCCCGGUGUGUGAUGUUCCCCUCCCUGUGUCCAUGUGUUCUCAUUGUUUAGCUCCCACUUAUGAGUGAGAACAUGCAGUGUUUGGUUUUCUGUUCCUGUGUUAGUUUGCUGAGGAUGAUGGUUUUCAGCUUCAUCCAGGUCCCUGCAAAGGACAUGAACUCAUUCUUUUUUAUGGCUGCAUAGUAUUCCAAGUUGCAUAUGUGCCACAUUUUCUUUAUCCAGUGUAUCAUUGAUGGGCUUUUGGGUUGCUUCCAAGUCUUUGCUAUCGUAAGUAGUGCUGCAAUAAACAAAUGUAUGCAUGUGUCUUUAUAGUAGAAUGAUUUAUAAUCCUUUGGGUAUAUACCCAGUAAUGGGAUUGCUGGGUCAAAUGGUAUUUCUAGUUCUAGAUCCUCGAGGAGUCGCCACACUGUCUUCCACAAUGGUUGAGCUAAUUUACACUCCCACCAACAGUGUAAACGUGUUCCUAUUUCUCCACAUCCUCACCAGCAUUUGUUAUUUCCAGACUUUUUAAUGAUUGCCAUUCUAACUGGCAUGAGAUGGUAUCUCCUUGUGGUUUUGAUUUGCAUUUCUCAGCUCAUUGCAACCUCUGCCUCCCAGGUUCAAGCAAUUCUCCUGCCUCAGCCUCCAGAGUAGCUGGGAUUACAGGGGCACGCCACCAAGCCCAGCUAAUUUUUGUAUUUUUAGCAGAAACAGGGCUUCACCAUGUUGGCCAGUCUGGUCUCAAACUCCUGAUCUCAAGUGAUCCAUCCACCUCAGCCUCCCAAAGUGCUGGGAUUAUAGGCGUGAGCCACCACGGCUGGCCAUUCUCCUGUGUUUUCUUCUGGGGCUUUUAUACUUUCAUUUUUUAAAAUCCAUAGUUUCUUGGAGCUGGAGGUGUCCCUUGUCAUUUUCUCAUCAGUGAGUGCAAAGCAGGAUCCCAAAAGGAUUGGAGUCCAGAGUAGAGAAAGGAGCUGCCGCGGUGGAGUCUGUUCAGUGCAGGCUCUGAUCUCCUUCAGCCCUGCCAGGAAUCCCAGCCAGCAGAUCUUCUUCCAGCUUCCCUUUCUCCAGCACUCUUGAUCUUCUGGGCUGGCACAGGGUCCAGGGUUGAUGGGGAUCCUAGCUGCCUGAGGAGCUUCCAGUCUGGAGGGUGAUACAAGCACAUGGCCAGACCUGAAUUCAAGCCAUGAGAGAGAUUCAGAACCUGGGCUGGGAGCGCAGGGGAGGGAGCGGGGUGCUGAUGGGGGUGGAUGGGAGGCUCCAGAGAGGAGGUGGCGUCUGAACUGAACCUUAAGAAUGAGGGGAAAUGUAAUGGCAGCGAUGAGAAAGGGGAGGCACUUCAGUGCAGAGAACAGCAAGAGCAAAGACAAGGAGGUGGAAAAUCAGCCAGAAACCUAGCCUGGAGAGGGUUUAGUGGACCAUGGGUCCUUGAUGGUAGAGACACAACAUGACUUAUCUCUGUGUCCCAUCCUCUGUGCCAGAGGCGGCAUCGACCAGACUUGGACAAAUGAAGCAGAAGGGACAGGGGACUUAGAAUACUAGGCUGCAUCAUUUUCUUUUUACUCUGACAGUGAGAAGCAAAGACCUCCACAAAGAAAGAAGCCCUUGGCUGUGUCAUCAUUUUAGAAUCUGGGCACUCUCUGCACACCACUGCCCCCUCAUGGCUGAUCUAGGAAUUCUCUCUAAAUCCCAGACUGAAGGUGAGGAGGAGGCUCAGUGAGUCUUAGAGAUUUGAAAAGCCGUGAAAUCCUGGUUGGAGAACAUCUGAGUCCAAAGGGCCCUCAGAGACUCUCUGACUUCCUCAUUA